GUUUGAUCAGAACUGUCACUGUUGAAGCACAACCUUAAACACUAAAUCAAGAAGAUCACUGCUGCACUGUAACACCUCCUGGAUCAUUAUGUAUUAAUGAAUAACUGACAGUAUAUAAUUACUCGAGUACACAUUAUAACCAGCUUAGAGGACAAUCAGUCCCUGUAUUUACUUUUCUCUGUUUUGUGUGUUCUUCCAGCAGAAAAGCUAAUGUCUAAACCCUAGCUUGAUCCUCGGGUGUUUUCUCUGGCCACACCCACAUGUCUCCUGUUUUAAUCUGGACACGUUCAGCCGUUUAAUCCCCUUUAAGAUCUUCUGACGCGGAGACUGAAGCAAAGGUUCAAAAUCAAACAAUAAUUAUGAACCUGGUUCAUCCAGUGUUCAGAUUUCUGUUCUGGAAAUGGAUAAUGGCUCAUUUGCAUAUCUAAACAACAUUUCAGAAAUCUUUCCACACGAAAAAAGUUUGAGCAGUGAAGGCCUGUGUGUGUGUGUGUCUGGGUCAGUCUGACUCUGACGGUGAUGGGAAGAUCUCUCUGUGUGAGAGGAAGACUCUGAGGAGAGAAGCUCAAGAAAGGAGAGCUGGAGGAGAUCCUGAAGCAGCUGGACCUGAGCCGAGACCGGACCGUGGAUACUGAGAGAUCAAGUUUGUGAUGACACCGUCAUCUUCCCCAUCCAACAGCAGACCAUACGGGAAAACCUGGAACAUCUGAGACCUCUUUAACUGUGAUUUAGAUGUGAAAUCAUACAUCUCUGUAAUGACAAUAUGUUUCUCUAAUUCUGCUCCACUCUAAUAUUUCACGAUCUAGAUAUUGAUCUUUAUG
ensembl:lncRNA